rnacentral:rRNA from 1 species
UCCGUAGGUGAAAACUGCGGAAGGAUCAUUACCGAGUUGAUUCGGGCUCCGUCCCGAUCCUCCCACCCUUUGUAUACCUACCUCUGUUGCUUUGGCGGGCCGCGGUCUUCCGCGGCCGCCCCCCGAUUUUGGGGGGUGGCUAGUGCCCGCCAGAGGACUAUCAAACUCCAGUCAGUAAACGUUGCAGUCUGAAAAAAAAUAUUAAAUAAACUAAAACUUUCAACAACGGAUCUCUUGGUUCUGGCAUCGAUGAAGAACGCAGCGAAAUGCGAUAAGUAAUGUGAAUUGCAGAAUUCAGUGAAUCAUCGAAUCUUUGAACGCACAUUGCGCCCCUUGGUAUUCCGGGGGGCAUGCCUGUUCGAGCGUCAUUUCAACCCUCAAGCUCUGCUUGGUAUUGGGCACCGUCCUUUGCGGGCGCGCCUCAAAGACCUCGGCGGUGGCGUCUUGCCUCAAGCGUAGUAAAAUACACCUCGCUUCGGAGCGUAAGGCGUCGCCCGCCGGACAAACCUUCUGAACUUUUCUCAAGGUUGACCUCGGAUCAGGUAGGGAUACCCGCUGAACUUAAGCAUAUCAAUA